UACGUAGGGGGCGAGCGUUGUCCGGAUUCAUUGGGCGUAAAGGGUGCGUAGGCGGCGCGGUAAGUCGGAUGUGAAAUCUCGGAGCUUAACUUCGAAACUGCAUUCGAUACUGCCGUGCUUGAGGACUGGAGAGGAGACUGGAAUUUACGGUGUAGCGGUGAAAUGCGUAGAUAUCGUAAGGAAGACCAGUGGCGAAGGCGGGUCUCUGGACAGUUCCUUACGCUGAGGCACGAAGGUCAGGGGAGCAAACGGG
rnacentral:rRNA from 1 species